GACGAACGCUGGCGGCGUGCUUAACACAUGCAAGUCGAACGGAAAGACCCUGCUUUUGCGGGUUUCUCGUGUGCCGAACGGGUGAGUAACACGUGUGUAACCUGCCCUUGACUUUGUGAUAUCUUCACGAAACUCGGGCUAUUACCGGAUAGGAGCUACUGCUCCACGGUGGGGGUUGGUAAGUUUCGGCUGUUGGGUAUCGUCUCGAGGGUUCUCAGCUUGUUGGUGUGGUAGUGGCUUACCAAGGCUUUGACGGGUAGCCGGCAUGAGCGGCUGACCGGCCACAUUAGGACUGAGAUACGGACCAGACUCCUACGGGAGGCAGCAGGGGGGAAUCUUGCACAAUGGGCGGAAGCCUGAUACAGCGACGCCGCGAGCGGAAUGACGGCUUUCGGGUUGUAAACCGCUUUCGACUGUGACGAAGCGGGAGUGACGGUAAUUGGUAAAGAAGCCCCGGCUAACUACGUG
rnacentral:rRNA from 1 species